rnacentral:rRNA from 1 species
UAGGGAAUAUUGGACAAUGGGUGAGAGCCUGAUCCAGCCAUGCCGCGUGCAGGAAGAAGGCCUUCUGGGUUGUAAACUGCUUUUGCCGGGGGAUAAAAGGCCCCUGCGGGGGACAUUGAAGGUACCCGGUGAAUAAGCCACGGCUAACUACGUGCCAGCAGCCGCGGUAAUACGUAGGGACCAAGCGUUGUUCGGAUUUACUGGGCGUAAAGGGCGCGUAGGCGGCAUGACAAGUCACUUGUGAAAUCUCUGGGCUUAACCCAGAACGGCCAAGUGAUACUGUCGCGCUAGAGUGCAGAAGGGGCAAUCGGAAUUCUUGGUGUAGCGGUGAAAUGCGUAGAUAUCAAGAGGAACACCUGAGGUGAAGACGGGUUGCUGGGCUGACACUGACGCUGAGGCGCGAAAGCCAGGGGAGCAAACGGGAUUAGAUACCCUAGUAGUCCCUGAGCGGGCUGGCAAGGCGCAU